AAUAUUUGUUAUAUAGGACUCAUUACGGUGUCUUAAAAUAAUACUUGAGAAUGCUUUGAUUCAAGAGGAUCUAUUCGACAUUCAACUUGAGGGUGGGAGAUAGAAAGGUAAAAGAUAAGAGUGUGUAAGAAUAUCAGAGGGUAAAAAUCAAGUGAGUAAAAUAUGAGAGAAUCAGCAAAGAAUCUUUAUUUGUGAUUAACCACUUCUGCAGGGAACUUUUUUCUAAAGAUGUCAAGCGAACACCAAAGCCCCACUAAUAAAAACUCUUUCUGA
rnacentral:lncRNA from 1 species